GCCUGACGGAGCGACACCGCGUGGAGGAUGAAGUUGUUCUUCAACGUAAACUCCUGUUCUGAGGGAACAAAUUUUUGAGUGUACCUCAGGAGAAAGCAUCGGCUAACUACGUGCCAGCAGCCGCGGUAAGACGUAGGAUGCAAGCGCUACUCGGAAUUACUGGGCGUAAAGCGUCUGUAGGCGUCCCUCCAAGUCUGGUGUUAAAUCGCAGAGCUCAACUCUGCAUUCGUGCCGGAAACUAGCGGGAUCGAGCAACCUAGAGGCACCUGGAAUGCCGUGUGUAGGGGUAAAAUCCGUUGAUACACGGUAGAACGCUAAAAGCGAAAGCAGGGUGCUGGGGGUUCGCUGACGCUGAGAGACGAAAGCGUGGGGAGCAAACCGGAUUAGAUACCCGGGUAGUCCACGCCCUAAACGAUGCGUGUUCGGUGUGGGGACUGAUCAAUCGGUCUCCGUGUCCUUAGCUAACGCGGUAAACACGCCGCCUGGGAAGUACGGCCGCAAGGUUAAAACUCAAAGGAAUAGACGGGGACCCACACAAGCGGUGGAGCAUGGGGUUUAAUUCGAUAGUAAGCGUGGAACCUCACCCAGGCUUGACAUCUUAGGAAUCUCCUGGAAACAGGAGAGUGCCGCAAG
rnacentral:rRNA from 1 species